rnacentral:rRNA from 1 species
GAUGAACGCUAGCGGCAGGCCUAAUACAUGCAAGUCGGACGGGAUCCAUCGGUAGCUUGCUAUCCAUGGUGAGAGUGGCGCACGGGUGCGUAACGCGUGAGCAACCUGCCUCCAUCAGGGGGAUAGCCUCUCGAAAGAGAGAUUAACACCGCAUAACAUAUCAGACCGGCAUCGGUCGGAUAUCAAAUAUUUAUAGGAUGGAGAUGGGCUCGCGUGACAUUAGCUUGUUGGUGGGGUAACGGCCCACCAAGGCGACGAUGUCUAGGGGCUCUGAGAGGAGAAUCCCCCACACUGGUACUGAGACACGGACCAGACUCCUACGGGAGGCAGCAGUAAGGAAUAUUGAUCAAUGGGCGGAAGCCUGAACCAGCCAUGCCGCGUGCAGGAUGACUGCCCUAUGGGUUGUAAACUGCUUUUGUCCGGGAAUAAACCUCCUUACGUGUAGGGAGCUGAAUGUACCGGAAGAAUAAGGAUCGGCUAACUCCGUG